rnacentral:tRNA from 1 species
GUAAAUAUAGUUUAUUAAAACAUUAGAUUGUGAAUCUAAAAUUAGAGCACUAACCUCUUAUUUACC